rnacentral:rRNA from 1 species
AGAUUAAGCCAUGCAUGUCUAAGUAUAAGCAAUUUAUACAGUGAAACUGCGAAUGGCUCAUUAAAUCAGUUAUCGUUUAUUUGAUAGUUCCUUUACUACAUGGAAUACCUGUGGUAAUUCUAGAGCUAAUACAUGCUUAAAAUCCCGACUCUUGUGGAAGGGAUGUAUUUAUUAAAUAAAAAAUCAAUGUCUUCGGACCCUUUGAUGAUUCAUAAUAACUUUUCGAAUCGCAUGGCCUUGUGCUGGCGAUGGUUCAUUCAAAUUUCUGCCCUAUCAACUUUCGAUGGUAGGAUAGUGGCCUACCAUGGUUUCAACGGGUAACGGGGAAUAAGGGUUCGAUUCCGGAGAGGGAGCCUGAGAAACGGCUACCACAUCCAAGGAAGGCAGCAGGCGCGCAAAUUACCCAAUCCUAAUACAGGGAGGUAGUGACAAUAAAUAACGAUACAGGGCCCAUUCGGGUCUUGUAAUUGGAAUGAGUACAAUGUAAAUACCUUAACGAGGAACAAUUGGAGGGCAAGUCUGGUGCCAGCAGCCGCGGUAAUUCCAGCUCCAAUAGCGUAUAUUAAAGUUGUUGCAGUUAAAAAGCUCGUAGUUGAACCUUGGGCCUGGUUGGCCGGUCCGAUUUUUUUCGUGUACUGUGUUGACCGGGUCUUUCCUUCUGGCUAACCAUUUGUCCUUGUGGCAGAUGGCGAACCAGGACAUUUACUUUGAAAAAAUUAGAGUGUUCAAAGCAGGCGUAAGCUCGAAUAUAUUAGCAUGGAAUAAUAGAAUAGGACGUUUGGUUCUAUUUUGUUGGUUUCUAGGACCAUCGUAAUGAUUAAUAGGGACGGUCGGGGGGCAUCAGUAUUCAGUUGUCAGAGGUGAAAUUCUUGGAUUUACUGAAGACUAACUACUGCGAAAGCAUUUGUCAAGGACGUUUUCAUUAAUCAAGAACGAAAGUUAGGGGAUCGAAGAUGAUCAGAUACCGUCGUAGUCUUAACCAUAAACUAUGCCGACUAGGGAUCGGGUGGUGUUUUUUAUUGACCCACUCGGCACCUUACGAGAAAUCAAAGUUUUUGGGUUCUGGGGGGAGUAUGGUCGCAAGGCUGAAACUUAAAGGAAUUGACGGAAGGGCACCACCAGGAGUGGAGCCUGCGGCUUAAUUUGACUCAACACGGGGAAACUCACCAGGUCCAGACACAAUAAGGAUUGACAGAUUGAGAGCUCUUUCUUGAUUUUGUGGGUGGUGGUGCAUGGCCGUUCUUAGUUGGUGGAGUGAUUUGUCUGCUUAAUUGCGAUAACGAACGAGACCUUAACCUACUAAAUAGUGAUGCUGGCUUUUGCUGGUUAUCUACUUCUUAGAGGGACUAUCGGUAUCAAGCCGAUGGAAGUUUGAGGCAAUAACAGGUCUGUGAUGCCCUUAGACGUUCUGGGCCGCACGCGCGCUACACUGACGGAGCCAGCGAGUAUAACCUUGGCCGAGAGGUCUGGGUAACCUUGUGAAACUCCGUCGUGCUGGGGAUAGAGCAUUGCAAUUAUUGCUCUUCAACGAGGAAUUCCUAGUAAGCGCAAGUCAUCAGCUUGCGUUGAUUACGUCCCUGCCCUUUGUACACACCGCCCGUCA